rnacentral:rRNA from 1 species
UGGGAUAAGCCUGGGAAACUGGGUCUAAUACCGGAUAUGACUUUUGCAGGCAUCUGUGGAAGUGGAAAGCUCCGGCGGUACAGGAUGAGCCCGCGGCCUAUCAGCUUGUUGGUGGGGUAAUGGCCUACCAAGGCGACGACGGGUAGCCGGCCUGAGAGGGUGACCGGCCACACUGGGACUGAGACACGGCCCAGACUCCUACGGGAGGCAGCAGUGGGGAAUAUUGCACAAUGGGCGCAAGCCUGAUGCAGCGACGCCGCGUGAGGGAUGACGGCCUUCGGGUUGUAAACCUCUUUCGCCAGGGACGAAGCGCAAGUGACGGUACCUGGAUAAGAAGCACCGGCUAACUACGUGCCAGCAGCCGCGGUAAUACGUAGGGUGCGAGCGUUGUCCGGAAUUAUUGGGCGUAAAGAGCUCGUAGGCGGUUUGUCGCGUCGUUCGUGAAAACUCCACGCUUAACGUGGAGCGUGCGGGCGAUACGGGCAGACUUGAGUUCGGUAGGGGAGACUGGAAUUCCUGGUGUAGCGGUGAAAUGCGCAGAUAUCAGGAGGAACACCGGUGGCGAAGGCGGGUCUCUGGGCCGAUACUGACGCUGAGGAGCGAAAGCGUGGGGAGCGAACAGGAUUAGAUACCCUGGUAGUCCACGCUGUAAACGUUGGGCGCUAGGUGUGGGCGACAUCCACGUUGUCCGUGCCGUAGCUAACGCAUUAAGCGCCCCGCC